rnacentral:rRNA from 1 species
UACGUAGGCAGCGAGCGUUUGUUCGGAAUUACUGGGCGUAAAGAGUGUGUAGGCGGUGCUCUAAGUUCGGUGUGAAAUCUCCUGGCUCAACUGGGAGGGUGCGCCGGAAACUGGAGUGCUUGAGCGUGGGAGAGGAAAGCCGGAAUUCCUGGUGUAGCGGUGAAAUGCGUAGAUAUCAGGAGGAACACCUGUGGUGUAGACGGCUUUCUGGACCAUUGCUGACGCUGAGACACGAAAGCGUGGGUAGCAAACAGG